ACCAAAUUGGCGCAUCAUUAGCUUUUUGAUUCCAUGUUCUUCACUGUCUUCAUCUUCUAGAAACAGAUUCAUUUCCAACUGCUGAUAAGUUAUUCCGAAAUAAAAUUUGGGUUGGAACAGUUGAAGGUUAGCGAUAGUUCCUCAUUAAUUCUUAGCUUCCAUUUGCAAAUGAUGUUAUGAUUCAUGUUAAUUAGAAUUGUUAAUAGGUCUUCCUGUCUAUGUCAUUGAUCCUCAUCAUCCAGCUAAAUUCUUCUGGAGAGGACAGUUUUAUGGAGAGAAUGAUGAUUUCAAGCGUUUUUCAUUCUUUAGUCCUGCAACACUUGAAUUGCUUCUUCGAGCUGGCAAGAAACCAGAUAUAAUCCAUUGCCAUGACUAGCAGAUAGCUUUUGUUGCACCACUCUAUUGGGAUUUGUAUGCUCCUAGAGGUUUGAAUACGGUUAGAAUUUACUUUACAUGCCACAAUUUUGAGUAUCAGGGGACAACACCUUCUUCAGAGUUGGCAUCCUGUGGCAUUGAUGUUCACCAGCCGAGUAGACAUGAUAGGAUGCAGGACAAUGCAUCACAUGAUAGAGUCAAUCCAAUUAAGGGUGCGAUUGUGUUCUCCAACAUUGUAACAACAAUAUCUCCAUCUUUCUCUCCCUGCCCCGACUCUCUCUCUAUCUCUCCGCCCUGAUUUCACUCAAAAAUAUGAUAACAUAGGGGCUGAAAUGGCUGACCUUGUUCAGGUGAUACCUCUUACCACUAACU